AAUAGUGUAUUUGACAAGUUAAGAGAGAAACGACGAAAAUUCACCUUCUUCAACUUCUCUGCAACCAAUUUUUCCUAACUUUCCUUCCCAUUUCACCUUCCCUUCUUCAAACCCUUCUCUCUCCCUCAGAUGGGAAUUUCAUGGAGCACCAACAGAAGAAGAAACCGCGCUUACCCACCACCUCCACUAGCACCACCGCCUUACUACCACUACUCCACAGAACCACCCCCACUACCGCCACAUAACUACCACUUCACCACCACCAAUUCGAGCACUGCAACCCCUUAUCCUUUCUCACAGAACCCACCUCCGCCUCCUCCGCCGCCGCCAGUUCACCCAUACUACAAUUCUUACAGUUAUGGGAAUCACUCGAUUCCUCGCUACAAUCACCACCACUACCACUACCACCAGCCUUACAAUUUCAAUUAUGCCCCUCCUCAGACUAAUGGUUGGCCCGCAGUUCGCGCUCCUGCUGCUUCCGUGCAAUCUCCGCUGCCGCCUUACGUGGAGCACCAGAACGCAAAGAAGAUCAGGAAUGAUGUCAAUGUCCAUAAAGAUACGUUGCGUGUGGAGAUAGACGAGCAGAACCCGGAUCAAUACUUGGUUUCUUUUGUUUUCGACGCUUUGUUUGAUGGGAGCAUUACUAUUCUCUACUUCGCAAAGGAAGAGUCAGAUUGUAGAUUUGUUCCGCUAUUUCCUGAAGCGUAUAUGCCAGUAAAAAUCCCCUUUCGGAAAGGACUGGGACAGAGAUUUUGUCAGCCUUCAGGAACAGGAAUUGACUUGGGCUUCUUUGAGUUGGAUGAUCUCCGUAAACCUUCUGCUGAAGAAGAUAUCUUUCCUCUUGUAGUAUCUGCCGAAACAUGCUCAUCUACAAAUUCAAUAGAUGAACCUGAACAUGAAAAGAUACCUGUUCAUAUGCAGAUUACCCAAGCUGUUCUAGAGAAGAAUAAUGACGACCUUUUUCAAGUAAAAGUGAUCAGGCAGAUUUUGUGGAUAGAUGGCGUACGCUAUGAGCUACGCGAGAUAUUCGGAAUUGCAAGCUCAUCAGCAGAAGAGUUUAAUGAUAGUGACACCGGGAAGGAAUGUGUAAUUUGCAUGACUGACCCUAAGGAUACCGCGGUACUACCCUGCCGACAUAUGUGUAUGUGCAGCGAAUGUGCAAAGGCCUUAAGGCUUCAAUCAAAUAAGUGUCCCAUCUGUCGUCAACCCAUUGAGGAACUUAUAGAGAUCAAGAUAAAUAAUAGUUGUCAAUGAGAGAUUAUUUUCUCCAUACUAUGUGUUAUAGGUGAUGAUCAUGCUAGAUCAAUCUCGCAAAGUUUUAAGUCAUCAUGCGUGUGUGAACAUGGAGGAUACGAAAGGCAAGAAAGACACACAGAGAAACCAGACUGGAUGUACAUUCUAGAUUCUAGAGAGUACCUUUCUCCUUUGGGCCAACAUCCAAAAAGAUAAACUGAAGAAUGUUUGAGAUACAAGUUAGAGCACCAAACCAAGAAUCUCAAAAGCUUGCAUGUACCUUUAGUGUGGAUAUUACAUUUGAACAGUGGGGUUGAUACUUGAUACCCAUAUCUCCCUCUCCCCGCUUUCAUAUUGACAUAUCUGGUUCUUGUUGCCUGUUCUGCUUUUUUUCUUUUUGGUCUUUUUUUUGUUCAUGCUUGUUGUACCAUGUUGAAUUUUUUCUUUUGGGUCUGCUGCUUAAUAUCAUUGAGGAUUCCACUGCAAGUUCCA